AACGAACGCUGGCGGCAUGCCUAACACAUGCAAGUCGAACGAAACCUUCGGGUCUAGUGGCGCACGGGUGCGUAACGCGUGGGAACCUGCCCUUAGGUUCGGAAUAACUCCCCGAAAGGGGUGCUAAUACCGGAUAAUGUCUUCGGACCAAAGAUUUAUCGACUUUGGAUGGGCCCGCGUUGGAUUAGCUAGUUGGUAGGGUAAAAGCCUACCAAGGCGACGAUCCAUAGCUGGUCUGAGAGGAUGAUCAGCGACACUGGGACUGAGACACGGCCCAGACUCCUACGGGAGGCAGCAGUGGGGAAUAUUGGACAAUGGGCGAAAGCCUGAUCCAGCAAUGCCGCGUGAGUGAUGAAGGCCUUAGGGUUGUAAAGCUCUUUUAACCGGGAUGAUAAUGACAGUACCGGGAGAAUAAGCUCCGGCUAACUCCGUG
rnacentral:rRNA from 1 species